rnacentral:rRNA from 1 species
GGAUUGAACGCUGGCGGCAGGCCUAACACAUGCAAGUCGAGCGGUAGAGAGGUGCUUGCAUCUCUUGAGAGCGGCGGACGGGUGAGUAAUGCCUAGGAAUCUGCCUAGUGGUGGGGGAUAACGUUCGGAAACGGACGCUAAUACCGCAUACGUCCUACGGGAGAAAGCGGGGGACCUUCGGGCCUCGCGCCAUUAGAUGAGCCUAGGUCGGAUUAGCUAGUUGGUGAGGUAAUGGCUCACCAAGGCGACGAUCCGUAACUGGUCUGAGAGGAUGAUCAGUCACACUGGAACUGAGACACGGUCCAGACUCCUACGGGAGGCAGCAGUGGGGAAUAUUGGACAAUGGGCGAAAGCCUGAUCCAGCCAUGCCGCGUGUGUGAAGAGUCUUCGGAUUGUAAAGCACUUUAAGGUUGGAGGUAAGGUUGUAACCGUAAUACGUUGCAACGUUUGACGUUACGACAGAAUAAGCACCGGACUAACUCGUGCCAGCAGCCG